UACGGGGGGAGCAAGCGUUGUUCGGAUUUACUGGGCGUAAAGGGCGCGUAGGCGGCGUAACAAGUCACUUGUGAAAUCUCCGGGCUUAACUCGGAGCGGUCAAGUGAUACUGUUGUGCUAGAGUGCGGAAGGGGCUACUGGAAUUCUCGGUGUAGCGGUGAAAUGCGUAGAUAUCGAGAGGAACACCUGCGGCGAAGGCAGCUCGCUGGGACGUUACUGACGCUGAGACGCGAAAGCGUGGGGAGCAAACAGG
rnacentral:rRNA from 1 species